rnacentral:rRNA from 1 species
AUUGAACGCUGGCGGCAUGCCUUACACAUGCAAGUCGAACGGUAACGCGGGGCAACCUGGCGACGAGUGGCGAACGGGUGAGUAAUAUAUCGGAACGUGCCCAGUAGUGGGGGAUAGCCCGGCGAAAGCCGGAUUAAUACCGCAUACGACCUACGGGUGAAAGGGGGGGAUCGCAAGACCUCUCGCUAUUGGAGCGGCCGAUAUCAGAUUAGGUAGUUGGUGGGGUAAAAGCCCACCAAGCCAACGAUCUGUAGCUGGUCUGAGAGGACGACCAGCCACACUGGGACUGAGACACGGCCCAGACUCCUACGGGAGGCAGCAGUGGGGAAUUUUGGACAAUGGGCGAAGGCCUGAUCCAGCCAUGCCGCGUGCGGGAAGAAGGCCUUCGGGUUGUAAACCGCUUUUGUCAGGGAAGAAAUCCUUUGAGUUAAUACCUCGGGGGGAUGACGGUACCUGAAGAAUAAGCACCGGCUAACUACGUGCCAGCCGCCGCAGUAAGAC